rnacentral:rRNA from 1 species
CCUACGGGCGGCAGCAGUGAGGAAUAUUGGACAAUGGGCGCGAGCCUGAACCAGCCAAGUAGCGUGAAUGAUGACUGCCCUACGGGUUGUAAACUUCUUUUAUAAAGGAAUAAAGUGAGGCGCGUGUGCCUUUUUGUAUGUACUUUAUGAAUAAGGAUCGGCCAACUCCGUGCCAGCAGCCGCGGUAAUACGGAGGAUCCGAGCGUUAUCCGGAUUUAUUGGGUGUAAAGGGAGAGUAGAUGGGUUGUUAAGUCAGUUGUGAAAGUUUGCGGCUCAACCGGAAAAGUGCAAUUGAUACUGGCAGCCUUGAGUACAGUUGAGGUAGGCAGAAUUCGUGGUGUAGCGGUGAAAUGCUUAGAUAUCACGAAGAACUCCGAUUGCGAAGGCAGCCUACUAAACUGCCACUGACAUUGAGGCUCGAAAGUGUGGGUAUCAAACAGGAUUAGAUACCCUGGUAGUC